rnacentral:rRNA from 1 species
UACGGAGGGGGCUAGCGUUGUUCGGAAUUACUGGGCGUAAAGCGCGCGUAGGCGGCUUUGUAAGUUAGAGGUGAAAGCCCGGAGCUCAACUCCGGAACUGCCUUUAAGACUGCAUCGCUAGAACGUUGGAGAGGUGAGUGGAAUUCCGAGUGUAGAGGUGAAAUUCGUAGAUAUUCGCAAGAACACCAGUGGCGAAGGCGGCUCACUGGCCCGGUACUGACGCUGAGGUGCGAAAGCGUGGGGAGCAAACAGGG